rnacentral:lncRNA from 1 species
CAAAUUUCCAAAAGGAGUUUUCUUCUCUUGGGUAAAACUUCAUUCUAACAACGUUUUCAGAUCCUAAUUGUAAAAUUAUUAAUUGGUGUGAGUAACUCCCUGGGACCUUAUACAUGAACAUCAAAUAUUCAUACAUACAUAAUAUAGUGACAAUCCCAAUUAGAUUUGAUACCAACAAUUCAUGAGAUAAAUUAGGAUUCAUGGAAGGGUUAGUUUUAGGUGAAGGAUCGAGUUGAGCACUGAAACCAACCCAUAUGGUACUCAAAAAGAAAACCCAUGGUAAAUUGAUCUCGAAUCAAUCUGAACGUAAUAUAUAUAUAGACAUAGAGCAACUCAUAGAGAGUAAUAGGAAUGCAGCAACAUGAUGACAUGAUUCUUCAAACGCAUUGGAA